rnacentral:rRNA from 1 species
CAGUUCAGAUUGCAGGCUGCAACUCGCCUGCAUGAAGUCGGAAUUGCUAGUAAUCGUAGGUCAGCAUACUACGGUGAAUACGUUCCCGGGCCUUGUACACACCGCCCGUCAAACCAUGAGAGUUGGCAACACCCGAAGUCGGUAGUCUAACCGCAAGGAGGACGCCGCCGAAGGUGGGGUUGAUGAUUAGGGUUAAGUCGUAACAAGGUAGC